rnacentral:rRNA from 1 species
GAUGAGCCCGCGUUGGAUUAGCUAGUUGGUGGGGUAAAGGCCUACCAAGGCGACGAUCCAUAGCUGGUCUGAGAGGAUGAUCAGCCACAUUGGGACUGAGACACGGCCCAAACUCCUACGGGAGGCAGCAGUGGGGAAUAUUGGACAAUGGGCGCAAGCCUGAUCCAGCCAUGCCGCGUGAGUGAUGAAGGUCUUAGGAUUGUAAAGCUCUUUCACCGGGGACGAUAAUGACGGUACCCGGAGAAGAAGCCCCGGCUAACUUCGUGCCAGCAGCCGCGGUAAUACGAAGGGGGCUAGCGUUGUUCGGAAUUACUGGGCGUAAAGCGCACGUAGGCGGAUAUUUAAGUCAGGGGUGAAAUCCCGGGGCUCAACCCCGGAACUGCCUUUGAUACUGGGUAUCUUGAGUGUGGUAGAGGUGAGUGGAAUUGCGAGUGUAGAGGUGAAAUUCGUAGAUAUUCGCAGGAACACCAGUGGCGAAGGCGGCUCACUGGACCACAACUGACGCUGAGGUGCGAAAGCGUGGGGAGCAAACAGGAUUAGAUACUCUGGUAGUCCACGCC